rfam:Blastomyces gilchristii SLH14081 genomic scaffold supercont1.19, whole genome shotgun sequence.
GCCGAGCUAGCUCAAUCGGUAGAGCGUGCGGCUCUUAAUAUGAGUUUAGACUUUUCGAACCAAAUAUUCGAAUAUCCAACCCAAUUGAUAAACCGCAAGGCUGCGGGUUCGAUCCCCGCGUUCGGCU